UGCCAUUGGGUAGUGGCGCUGCCAGUCCCGGGGUAGCGAGUAGCGGCGGCGGAGCGUGAGGGGGGGAAGAUGUCGGGCUGCGAGGCCCGCGACGCCAAGAAGCUGGUGCGCUCGCCCAGCGGGCUGCGUAUGGUGCCCGAGCACCGCUCCGCCCGCAGCCCCUUCGGCCUGGACGAACCGCCCUGGGUUCCCGACAAGGAGGUAUCGUGCCCAAGAUGUAUGCAGUGUGAUACGAAAUUUGACUUCAUAACUAGAAAGCAUCACUGUCGAAGAUGCGGGAAGUGCUUCUGUGACAAGUGCUGCAGUAAAAAAGUGCCUCUGCCUCGCAUGUGCUUCGUGGACCCCGUGCGCCAGUGUGCGGAGUGUGCCCUCGUCUCUCAGAAAGAAACAGAGUUUUAUGACAAACAGCUGAAAGUGCUGAUGAAUGGUGCUACAUUCUUUGUAACUCUGGGAACAUCUGAUAAAUCCGAGCUCAUGGUUUGUCGACUUUCCAACAAUCAGAGGUAUUUGGUUUUGGAUGGAGACAGUCACUAUGAAAUUGAAAUUAUACAGAUUUCAACUGUUCAGAUACUUACAGAGGGAUUUACUCCUGGAGAUUUUAGAGUAUUUCAGGAUGAACUUGAAUGUGAUUUCACUGAAAUGAGAACAAACAAGGAGGUAACACUCGUGCCAUCGGGAUGAUUCUGCAGUACAAGGUACCGGGAUCAGAGGAGCUCACGCAGAUGAAAUUUACGGCCAGCGAAGACUUCAGCUGUAACAAGAAGCUGUCGGCGAGCUGGCUGGCAGCUAUGCACAAGGCAACAAAACUUCUUUACGAGUCCCGGGACCAGUAAGACCAGCAAACUGUUGGCCGCUUAAGGGAAGCCACCAGACCUGGUGGAGCUGCCUCUCACUAAUUCUACAGCUGGUGACAUUUGCUGUUCUUGACCCUCUCAUUCCCGUGUGGUUGGCUAUAAAAGAACUGGCAAAUGCAACGUGAGUAUUUUUUUCAAACCAUGAGUAUUCACUAUAGUGUGCAAUAUGUAUACAAUUAAUGCUUUAAACAGCCUCACCUUUUAAGACUUUGUAUAUUUUGUUAAGCCUUUUAUUGGCACUUAAUAUGAAAGUGACCUGCACUACAGCUAAUGUACAGCACAACUUUUAUAGUAACAAUUCUAUAUCGUUUGCUACAGAAAGCAAACAAAUGUGUAUGUCUCUUCUGCAGAGAAUAGCUUUUGGGUAUAGAUCUCAGGUUUUUCCCUCUAUCCAAAUGUUUAAAAAUCAAUGUACAAUAAUAUCUGCCUUAGAUAUGAUUUUAUAGAAUUCACUUGAUUUUUAAAAGCAUUUCAUUUUAAAUAUUUCACCAAAUAGCACCAAAUUGGACUUACACGAACACGAUCUUGAAACUUUCCUUCUGUAAUAAAUAAGCUUCCAGAAUAAUUUUUAGUUUUGUAUUUUCUUUUUGGUAACAAGCUUUUGUUAAUCUAACUGUAACGCUAUCUGAAAUUGUAUACAAUUUAAUGUACAAAUAUGAAUAAAUUAAUUCACUUAUUUAAAAAAAA